rnacentral:rRNA from 1 species
UCGAAACCUGCCCAGCAGAACGACCCGUGAACCUGUUGAAACAACUGGGGGCGGGGGGCGAUCUCGCCCCGUGCCCCCGAACGGUAGGGAGACACUCGUGCAUCCCUGCCGAACAACGAACCCCGGCGCGGUCUGCGCCAAGGAACUUUAACGAAAGAGUGCCUCCGGCCGCCUCGGAAACGGUGUGCGUGCGGGAGGUGAAUCUUGUCUAGAACCAUAACGACUCUCGGCAACGGAUAUCUCGGCUCUCGCAUCGAUGAAGAACGUAGCGAAAUGCGAUACUUGGUGUGAAUUGCAGAAUCCCGCGAAUCAUCGAGUCUUUGAACGCAAGUUGCGCCCGAAGCCACCUGGCUGAGGGCACGUCUGCCUGGGUGUCACGCAUCGUUGCCCCCAACCCCAUCUCCUUGCAAAGGGACGAGGGGGCCUGUGGGGCAGAAAUUGGCCUCCCGUGAGCUCAUGCAUGCGGUUGGCCUAAAAGCGAGUUCUCGGCGACGCGCGCCACGACAAUCGGUGGUUGACAAACCCUGGUGUCCCGUCGUGCGUGCCGCGUCGCUCAUCGUGUGCUCUUUGACCCUGUUGUGUCGCGCUAGCGACGCUUCCAACGCG